rnacentral:rRNA from 1 species
UACGUAGGGGGCAAGCGUUGUCCGGAAUCAUUGGGCGUAAAGCGCGUGUAGGCGGCCCGGUAAGUCCGCUGUGAAAGUCGGGGGCUCAACCCUCGAAUGCCGGUGGAUGCUGUCGGGCUAGAGUGCGGGAGAGGCGAGUGGAAUUCCUGGUGUAGCGGUGAAAUGCGCAGAUAUCAGGAGGAACACCAAUUGCGAAGGCAGCUCGCUGGGACGUUACUGACGCUGAGACGCGAAAGCGUGGGGAGCAAACAGG